rnacentral:rRNA from 1 species
AGAAUCAACGCUGGCGGCGUGCCUAACACAUGCAAGUCGAACGAGAAAGUGGAGCAAUCCAUGAGUAAAGUGGCGCACGGGUGAGUAACACGUGACUAACCUACCCUUGAGUGGGGGAUAACCUAGAGAAAUCUGGGCUAAUACCGCAUAACACCUUCGGGUCAAAGGAGCAAUUCGCUUAAGGAGGGGGUCGCGGCCGAUUAGUUAGUUGGCGGGGUAAUGGCCCACCAAGACUAUGAUCGGUA